rnacentral:lncRNA from 1 species
CUAUACAUGCCACUCACUUGAUAUUUCUAAUAUUUGAAUUAAUUUUCCCAAAAAUGAUAGUUUGAUAGUGUGAUUUUGCCUCCGACGAUCUCCAACCCCGAGCCGACCUGCCAAUACUAAAUAAAUAGAGAGGAUGGGUAAGCUUUACACUUAGUAAGUCCAUAUGAAAUUAAUAAGCAAUUACUAACAUGCUUUUAAAGAUAAAACACUAUAAUUGUACAAUUACACAUGUUUAGGUUAAGUUGUUUUAUCGAGUUAUAGUUACUAAAUCAUUCAUAUAUGAAGCUAAAAAACUCAAAAUUUAGUUUUUUUAAUUUUCCUUGAAACUAGAUUCAUAUACCUUUCUCCCAUAAAAUUUUCAGAAUUUUUGGUUUAGCCAAUUAGUACAGUUUAUUCAUUAAAGUUUCCCCUCUUUUGCUGUCCAACAGUUCUGACCUCUCUUCACUAAAAAUUAUUUAUCUCAUAUUUCGGGACUCGGAUGAUGUUCCUGUCCAUUCCUCUUAAAAUUAGACUCAUUUAAUAUUCUAUUCAUAUAAAUUAUAACUCAUAAUUAUUUUUUUACAAUUUUUAACAAUUUUUCCAAUUCAGAAUAGGGGAUCUCGAAUUCAUUUUGACACUGUCUCACAAAAAUUAGAAUAUCAAAUAAUAUAGAACUCUUUUUCUCACCCUGUUUCUUUUAUAUGAAAAUAGACUCAUCAAUAUUUAAUUCCAUAAUUUUUUUUAAAUUUAAUUCAACUUACACAAUUUUUGGUGAAUUUUCAAAUUCACGCAACUGCUGCUGUCUAACAUUGUUUUACUACUAAAAUUCACUCUUACAUAAUUUCACUUAAUCCAUUUUGUCUUAUCGAAGUUCACUCAAAUAUCGAGCACAUUGCUCAUAAAUUUCAUUAACAUAUACCUGCACUUAUUCAUCAUAUAAUCAUGUUCACAUGUAUUUUCACUUAAUCGAUUUUCCCGUUGAACUCUUCGGAAUAAUAAUUGAUACUCAGUUGCCUGCACAUAUUUUCACACUUGUAGACAAGGCUAUCUAGUACGCAUAGUAGCCUACACUUAGUACUACACAUGCGACCAAUUAUCCGGUACACGUAGUAGCCUGCACUCAGUACUACACACGUGAUCGAAGUUAUCGGGUACGCAUAGUAGCCUGCACUUAGUACUACACAUGCGACCAAUUAUCCGAUACACGUAGUAGCCUGCACUUAGUACUACACACGUGAUCUCACAAUAGAUUAUUCGUAUUGUUCUAUUCCAAAUGCUCAACCGGGAAAUUCCUCACUUUCCAACAUGUUACAAAUUUAUUCAUAGUCCUUUUUCAAUUUGCAAUUUACAACAAAUAGUCAUUCUAUAGGCAGCCACAUUUCAUAUGAUAACAAAAUAUAAUAAAAUAAAAAGAAUCGAUAAAUUAUUUACGUACAACCUUGUCGAAAUCUCAUCAAGUACAAUCGUGUAGCAAUUCAUACAACCCAGGGAAUAGUAAUUUAACACUCAAUUCAUGUAACAAUAAUUUGCCAUUGACACAACGAGCAUUACAUUUUUCCAUAUCAUACAUACCAUCCAUCAACUUCUCUUAAACAUAUUAAACCAUACAAUUCAUGCAUGGUAUUUCAUUAUUAUUAACACACGAACUUACCUCGAUCCAGAAACGGCAAUUUACCAUUUUAGUCCAUAACCUUGUAUUUUUCCGAUUUAAGCCCGAAUCUCGAUUUCCUUCAUCUAUAAUAUCACAUUUAGC